AUUGAACGCUGGCGGCAGGCCUAACACAUGCAAGUCGAGCGGAGCGGCGGACGGGUGAGUAAUACCUAGGAAUCUGCCUGUUGGUGGGGGAUCACGUUAGGAAACGGACGCUAAUACAACAUACUAUCAGAUGAGCCUAGGUCGGAUUAGCUAGUGGGUGAGGUAAUGGCUCACAAAGGCUACGAUCCGUAACUGGUCUGAGAGGAUGAUCAGUCACACUGGAACUGAGACACGGCCCAGACUCCUACGGGAGGCAGCAGUGGGGAAUAUUGGACAAUGGGCGAAAGCCUGAUCCAGCCAUGCCGCGUGUGUGAAGAAGGUCUUCGGAUUGUAAAGCACUUUAAGUUGGGAGGCGUUACCGACAGAAUAAGCACCGGCUAACUCUGUGCCAGCAGCCGCGGUAAUUC
rnacentral:rRNA from 1 species